rnacentral:rRNA from 1 species
AAAGCUCAAAUUUAAAAUCUGGUGGUACUCGUGACCAUCCGAGUUGUAAUUUAGAGAAGUGUUACCCGUGCUGGACCGUGUACAAGUCUCCUGGAAUGGAGCGUCAUAGAGGGUGAGAAUCCCGUCUUUGACACGGACUCCCAGUGCUUUGUGGUAUGCUCUCAAAGAGUCGUGUUGUUUGGGAAUGCAGCACUAAAUGGGUGGUAAAUUCCAUCUAAAGCUAAAUAUUGGCGAGAGACCGAUAGCGAA